rnacentral:rRNA from 1 species
CCUACGGGUGGCAGCAGUGAGGAAUAUUGGUCAAUGGACGAGAGUCUGAACCAGCCAAGUAGCGUGAAGGAUGACUGCCCUAUGGGUUGUAAACUUCUUUUAUAUGGGAAUAAAAUGUUCCACGUGUGGGCUUUUGUAUGUACCAUAUGAAUAAGGAUCGGCUAACUCCGUGCCAGCAGCCGCGGUAAUACGGAGGAUCCGAGCGUUAUCCGGAUUUAUUGGGUUUAAAGGGAGCGUAGGGGGAUUGUUAAGUCAGGUGUGAAAGUUUGCGGCUCAACCGUAAAAUUGCAGUUGAAACUGGCAGUCUUGAGUACAGUAGAGGUGGGCGGAAUUCGUGGUGUAGCGGUGAAAUGCUUAGAUAUCACGAAGAACUCCGAUUGCGAAGGCAGCUCACUGGACUGCAACUGACACUGAGGCUCGAAAGUGUGGGUAUCAAACAGGAUUAGAUACCCGAGUAGUC